rnacentral:snoRNA from 1 species
CCCCUCUCAGAGUCACAUCCGGAGAGUUUCCAGUACUCUACCGGUCUCUACUAUGGGAGGGAGAGUCAAACAGAGGCAUAUCCAUUCCAUUUCUAGCUUGGGCAGUGGCUAGGGAGUGGAAAGCAAUGUGUUACAAGU